GUGGUAGUAGCUCAGUUGGUUAGAGCACCAGAUUGUGGUUCUGGGGGUCGGGGGUUCGAGUCCCCUCUUCCACC
rnacentral:tRNA from 1 species